rnacentral:rRNA from 1 species
GACGAACGCUGGCGGCGUGCCUAAUACAUGCAAGUUGAGCGCUGAAGGUUGGUACUUGUACCAACUGGAUGAGCAGCGAACGGGUGAGUAACGCGUGGGGAAUCUGCCUUUGAGCGGGGGACAACAUUUGGAAACGAAUGCUAAUACCGCAUAAAAACUUUAAACACAAGUUUUAAGUUUGAAAGAUGCAAUUGCAUCACUCAAAGAUGAUCCCGCGUUGUAUUAGCUAGUUGGUGAGGUAAAGGCUCACCAAGGCGAUGAUACAUAGCCGACCUGAGAGGGGGAUCGGCCACAUUGGGACUGAGACACGGCCCAAACUCCUACGGGAGGCAGCAGUAGGGAAUCUUCGGCAAUGGACGAAAGUCUGACCGAGCAACGCCGCGUGAGUGAAGAGGGUUUUCGGAUCGUAAAACUCCGUUGGUAGAGAAGAACGUUGGUGAGAGUGGAAAGCUCAUCAAGUGACGGUAACUACCCAGAAAGGGACGGCUAACUACGUG